rnacentral:rRNA from 1 species
AGCGAACGCUGGCGGCAGGCCUAACACAUGCAAGUCGAGCGGCCGUAGCAAUACGGCAGCGGCAGACGGGAGAGUAACACGUGGGAACGCGCCCUUCGGUUCGGGAUAACUCAGGGAAACUUGGGCUAAUACCGGAUACGCCCUUAUGGGGAAAGAUUUAUUGCCGAAGGAACGGCCAGCGUCCGAUUAGCUUGUUGGCGAGGUAACGGCUCACCAAGGCGACGAUCGGUAGCUGGUCUGAGAGGAUGACCAGCCUCACUGGGACUGAGACACGGCCCAGACUCCUACGGGAGGCAGCAGUGGGGAAUAUUGGACAAUGGGCGCAAGCCUGAUCCAGCCAUGCCGCGUGGGUGAUGAAGGCCCUAGGGUUGUAAAGCCCUUUCAGCGGGGAAGAUAAUGACGGUACCCGCAGAAGAAGCCCCGGCUAACUUCGUGCCAGCAGCCGCCGUAACAC